rnacentral:rRNA from 1 species
UGAGCAAUCUGCCCUUCUCAUCGGAAUAAGCGUUGGAAACGACGUCUAAUGCCGAAUACGACCUCCUUUCGCAUGAUCGGAGGUGGAAAGCUCCGGCGGAGAAGGAUGAGCUCGCGGCCUAUCAGCUAGUUGGUGUGGGUAAUGGCCCACCAAGGCGACGACGGGUAGCCGGCCUGAGAGGGUGACCGGCCACACUGGGACUGAGACACGGCCCAGACUCCUACGGGAGGNAGCG